GAGUUUGAUCCUGGCUCUGAACGAACGCUGGCGGCGUGCCUAACACAUGCAAGUCCAACGUGAAAGGGGAGCAAUCCCCCGGUAGGGUGGCAAACGGGUGAGUAAUACAUGGGUGAUCUACCUUAGGGAUGGGGAUAUCCUUCCGAAAGGAGGGGCAAUACCGAAUAUUGUCCGGAGCCGUGAAGGGUUCCGGGGAAAGGGAGGCCUCUGAUACAAGCUUUCGCCUUAAGAUGAGCCCAUGGCCCAUCAGCUAGUUGGUAGGGUAAAGGCCUACCAAGGCUACGACGGGUCGCUGGUCUGAGAGGACGACCAGCCACACUGGCACUGAGAUACGGGCCAGACUCCUACGGGAGGCAGCAGUGAGGAAUAUUGCGCAAUGGGGGAAACCCUGACGCAGCAACGCCGCGUGUGGGAAGAAGGCCUUCGGGUCGUAAACCACUUUUGCACGGGACGAAAAAGGGAUAUCGAACAAAUAUCCCCGAUGACGGUACCGUGAGAAUAAUCCACGGCUAACUCUGUGCCAGCAGCCGCGGUAAUAC
rnacentral:rRNA from 1 species